rnacentral:lncRNA from 1 species
UUAGUGAGUUGAGUACUUGAUUUAGUGGACACAUGAGGAUUGGGUCUUGACAUGGAAUCCUAUAGUGCCGAGGAACAAAAGAUGGACUUGGACAUGUAAAUAAACUCACAGAGUGGCAUUUGGACUAGUGUAGUAGAGACACUAUGACAUGAACUUAAGGUAGAGAAUGAUCUCCUAAGUAGUGGCAUGUAAACCAAAGAUUGACAUUUGGACUAGUGUAGUGAAACACUUACAGCUUGAUACAUGAACUUAGAAUAGAUAUUGAUUUCCUGAGUAGUAGCAUGUGAACUAGUGCAAGAGGCACUAACUAUCCUCGAGUGAGAGUGUCACGCCCCGCGACCACCCGCCUAUUUGGCCGGGUCGCGGCGUCGCCGACAGAUCGCCGAACGGACAGGGUUUCCCCUGUACUGCGGACAGAGUCUCCCCUGUACGUUCAAGGCAUAGCAAUCAAUACAAGUACAAUGAGUUCCAACCAGGAACACAUUUCAAUCAAGAUUGCAUAAUGGAAGGUAUCAAACAACAUAACACAUCCUAUGUUAUUACAUGCAUUCACAUUCAUACAUUUUACAUCCCAAAUACUUAUUACAUUUAACUUCCAAAUACAAUCCGAUUUAACAUGAUUAUUACAAUCUUAUUCCUUUUUUUUUCUUACAUCCCUAAGUAAAGGCCGACUCAGGGUACCGCUAUCUCUGGUCUCGGUGGUAAGGCGCUAACUAUGGAGCUACGCCCUCGCUUCGCGCCGCCGCGCCGCUCACGUGUGAACCUGUAAACACCCCAAAACCACGUGGGGUGAGAACCAACUCCAUGGUUCCCAGUGGGUACGGCCACCCAAGGGAAAAGCUCGACCAAUAGGUCCAAGGGAGGCAACUGCAAGUUAGUUCAAUAAACAGAUAGAUAUAUAUCUUUAUUAUGCAACUAAUAAAACCAUGCUUUGCCUCACGAAUGCAAUAAUGCCAUGCUAUAUGCGAAUCAUGCAACUAUACAAGUAGAAUAAAUGAUUUUACUUUGUAUCAUGCUAUCCAUAGCUUUUUCAUAAUUUAUACAUCUUAUCACUUUACAUCAUUGGUUAUUUGCUCCUAAGGUUUUCCUCUACCCUAGCCAAGCUAACCACCCGACUCGGUCUCGAGUCAAUCAACUGCGGAAUACCGCACCAAAACUAGGCUCGAGGUGAUGGACGUCUCACAUACACCUCAGCCCUAAAUCCUCUCAACUGGGAUACCAAACCCGUAACACAUAAUGCUAUACAUUCACUUGGCUUUGACCCAAUCUUACCGGUUAACCAUGUUAACCCCAAUGACUCACAACCCAAAAUCCCUUAAUAACGGGGGACUCGAACCUCCCUAGGGACCGUCUUCUGGGGGGACUUUACCACGCCCAGUGGUGACCAACUCCGGAGCGCACCGCCCGAGGGGGAGCUACCUCCCUCAAGCCAAGACUUAUCGUGAGUAUCGAUCAAUCCUCAACUUGAGGAUUCAUAGCCACUAGUCACAAUGCCAAUGUCACAAUAGGUUUCUACCUAUUUAAUCAUGCUACUCUAUGUCAAAUGGUCCAAUGCCACUCUUGGUUAAACUAUGUUUAACAACUAUAUCCUCUAUGCAUAUCAAUGUCUCUAUUGUCAAUGUUGCCUUUGUUUACUAAUGUCCAAGUCCAACUCUCACAUUCACACAAUAAUAGGGUUCUAACAUACAUGUCCAUUAUGGUUCUACCUUUCUCUAUGUUCAACUACGUUAGAAACAUGUCAUUGAAAGUAACCAAGGUUCACAUGUACUUAGCCCUAUUAUGUAUGAAUGAUACAAAUAUAUAUGCUCAAUGCCACAAGUGUUUGCUAGGUUCAUGACACUAGGUUCACACUAUACUUGUUCAACCUAUGUUCAAUACACUAGGUUUAAUGCCACUUGAUGUCCAACCUAUGUUCUUUGGCACUAGAUUCAUAUCCUCCAUGUCCAACCUAUGUCCAUGACUCUAGGUUUAAUGCCACUCGAUCUAAUGUAUAUAGAUUGUCCAUAUGCACAUUUCCAUUUCUUAACAUUAGUAUCUCUACAACAUGAUCAUCAAGUAUAUCUUAGCAUUAGCCACAUGCUUGCAUUUAUUAUUUCUACAUCAUGCUUAUCAUACCAUUACUUAGCAUUAUCCCCAUGCAUGCUUAUCAUGUAAACUUUAACAUUACUCAAUGCAUUCAUCUAGCACUAUUUACACUAAGUCAUCAUGCAUUCCUCUUAUCAUGUUCUUAUAAUGUUAACAUUCAUAUGCCCUUUAUCUUAUGCAUUCAAAGCAUUAAUCACAUGCAUUUAUCUAGCAUUUCUAUAAUAUGUUAACAUGCAUUCUUUUCACAUUCUUACAUUAUGUCAAAUGCAUUCCUCUAGCAUUUCACAUUAUAUGUCAACAUGCAUCAAUAUGAAAUCUCAUUUCUUAGACAUAAAGGGCGACCUAGUCGCUUCGGUAAGCACAACCCACCUCAUUUCGCAUUCCGAUUGCUUGUCGACACUUGCAAUCGGCCGCCCGCGGCACCCGGCACCCGGUUUGGCCCGAUCUCUCACGCGACCACCCGAACGGCCUCCAAUUCACGAUCCGAAAAUUAAAGGUCUUCGGUUAUGUGCCACGAUGCUUCAAAUCCAUUUUCAUGAAUUUACGAUAUCGCCUCGGCCCUCCCGGCGGACCCGAAGCCUAAACGUCCAUUUCUUUAAUAACUUUGUAACGGCUCGUCGGAUUGCCGAACCGUCUUCGCCAACGCGUUUCGUUACCUAGCAAUUAGGUUUACGAAGGGUCAAAUGAGAUCAAACCCUCAUAUUUUGAAAGUUUGCAUUUUGGAGCCCUAAUAUGAAUUAACCUCUAAAUAAUCCAAAUCAAAUGGAGCAAACAUGUUUAGAAUGCUCAUUAGAGGCUAUUAGAACACUUAAAACUAAGGAUUAAG